rfam:Flavobacterium fontis strain DSM 25660 genome assembly, contig: Ga0131152_103
AUACAGCCCCGAUCGCAGCGGCAUCCUCUGGUGCUUCCUUGGUAAAGGAGCGCCAGAGAUAUAGCGGAGAGCGGGAGGAAGC